rnacentral:tRNA from 1 species
GGGGUUGUGGCUCAGUGGUAGAGCGCUUGCUUAGCAUUCUAGAGGCCCUAGGUUUGAUCCUCAAUACCA